AUCCAGUUGACGAGUCCCAAAUAGGACGAAAUGUGCGUCGUGGAU
rfam:Schistosoma mattheei strain Denwood, Zambia genome assembly, scaffold: SMTD_scaffold0025634